CAAGAAGAAGCACGCAGGUGCAGAGUCCCAGUUUCUACUUUGAGAUUGAGAAUGGCCAGGAUGCUACCGAAUCACCGCAAUCAUUAGCCAUGUGCUAAAAGAGGAGCUGGGACAGCAUCAGUUGAGAGAUAUGGCUUCCUUCUUCACUUGCUUUCACUUGCUGGUGUGGAAAGCUUCUGGUCCAGUUGAUACGUGAGCAUGGAGCAACAGAAGAUCAGUGGAGGUAGAGAACGUACAAGUGGCUUUAAGGAGUAAAAAAAAUUAUGGGGAGGGACAUAGAGGAAACUUAAAAUAAUCAAACACAAAGUCAUUUCCAAUGGUUUUAAAAGCACAUAAAUCUUCCUAUAAAAGUCUGUUCUGCUUGAAA